rnacentral:ncRNA from 1 species
UUUUUGGCCCCCUUUUCCAAACUUUUUUCCUUCCGGGGUACAGGGUAAAUUUGGCCCUUAACCGGGGAGGGUUGGUUAAACGGAGUGGACCGGGGGAAAUUCAGGGGGUUCCGAUUUCCCGGAAGAAGGGGAAGCCUUAGGAAAACGGGUUACCCCCAUCCCAAGGAAGGCAGCCAGGCCGCGCAAAUUACCCCAUUCCCGAACGCGGGGAGGUAGUGACGAAAAAUAACAAUGCAGGACUCGUUCGAGGCCCUGUAAUUGGAAUGAGUACACUUUAAAAGCUUUAACGAGUAUCCAUUGGAGGGCAAGUCUGGUGCCAGCAGCCGCGGUAAUUCCAGCUCCAAAAGUAUAUAUUUAAGUUGUUGCGGUUAAAAAGCUCGUAGUUGGAUUUUGGGCGCAGGCGGCCGGUCCGUCGCAAGGCGUGUACUGGACGUCCUGGCCUUCCCUCCGGUUCUCCGCCGGUGCUCUUGACUGAGUGUCGGCGGCGGCCGGAACGUUUACUUUGAAAAAAUUAGAGUGUUCAAAGCAGGCUCUCGAGCCUGGAUAAUGGUGCAUGGAAUAAUGGAAUAGGACCUCGGUUCUAUUUUGUUGGUUUUCGGAGCGCGAGGUAAUGAUUAAGAGGGACAGACGGGGGCAUUCGUACUGUGCCGUUAGAGGUGAAAUUCUUGGAUCGGCGCAAGACGAACGACUGCGAAAGCAUUUGCCAAGAAUGUUUUCUUUAAUCAAGAGCGAAAGUCAGAGGUUCGAAGACGAUCAGAUACCGUCCUAGUUCUGACUAUAAACGAUGCCAACUAGCGAUCGGGGGGUGCAUCCGAAGAUCAGCA